UACGUAGGUGGCAAGCGUUAUCCGGAAUUAUUGGGCGUAAAGCGCGCGCAGGUGGUUUCUUAAGUCUGAUGUGAAAGCCCACGGCUCAACCGUGGAGGGUCAUUGGAAACUGGGAGACUUGAGUACAGAAGAGGAAAGUGGAAUUCCAUGUGUAGCGGUGAAAUGCGUAGAGAUAUGGAGGAACACCAGUGGCGAAGGCGACUUUCUGGUCUGUAACUGACACUGAGGCGCGAAAGCGUGGGGAGCAAACAG
rnacentral:rRNA from 1 species